CUCAAGACACCAACUCCUGGCAUGCUGAAGCCAAACCCAAGGCCCAUGGUACAUCUAAAGGCUGUCUCAUCAUUUCUCUUUGUCUUCAAUGGCACAUGAAGAGAAAUCAAAAGGGAAUCCUUGCCAGGAGCUGCUACUAGACUUCAUAUCUGCACUAGCUCAGCUCCAGCCUCCACCUUUCAGGCAUCAGGAAUCUUAGUGGUCUCAGCAGCCAGAGAGCAAGCUAGCCUGGACAAGAGGAAGGAAUAUCAGCCUUCACAUUUACAGCCAUGCAACUGGCAGAACUCUUCUCCCAGUGCAAGCCAGGACUGUUCUGCUCCACCCUGAAGUCUGUCCAUGGAACUUUCACCACUGCUGAAGCAGAAGCAGCUUAGUGAGCCAAUGUGAAGUAGGAACUGGAGGCUAUGAAAUGCCAUGAACACCAAAACUGAGGAGAGAUCAGAGCAUUCCAGGUGUCUUCAACACACCCACUCACUGGGCACCUCAGCCACGUGGAGUCCUUGGGAAUGAGAGGUAUUUUUGAUAGCAAAAUGACAAAAUUUAAGCAAAUCCUCUCUGCACUAUUGGCCCAAAUCCUGCUUUUUAUUGACCUCUGCUCUGGUUGUCAAGGACAUUCUGAAUAU